CUAGAAGGGAGAUUGCUGGAUCUUAUGGUGACUCUCCUCUUUAGGUUCUUUUAAUCUGGAACAGUUGUGCCCCUACCCUUUAAACUUCUACACCUUACUAUCUUUGAAGAAUACAGACAAGUACAUUUCAUAGAAUGUCCCAGAUUUGGACAGGCAUCCAAAUUUCUACCUUGAAAGUACAGCCAGUAGGAUCUGUUGAUAAGUUGGAACUGAGAUAUGAAACAGACAAAAGCCAAGGGUGGAUCCAAAAAUUUCAGUCUGGAAAACUGGAAAGAUGGAAUGCCAUCUUCCAAGACAGGGAAACUGAGAAGCAGCAGGUUUGGAGAGAAAGACCAAGAAUUCUGCUUUGAUUGUCUGUUAAGUCGGGGAAACCUCUUAGGCAUGGAGAUGGAGAUACCAUCUUGAGUACAGGUGAGAAAUCCAGUUAAAAAUAAAAAAUUGGGAGUCUUCAGCAUGUGAAUGAUUUAUUUCAUCUAGGAAGUAUAGAUAAAAAAACAAGAGGAGGUACAAGGACUGAGCCUCAGGCCACUCCAAUAUUCAGAGGUCAUAAAGAGGAGGGGGAGACAGCAAAGGAAAAGGAAGAUGGCCCGUGGGGAAAAGUUAAAGGAAUAUGACAUCUUAGAAACCAAGUGAGAAAAGUGUUCCGAGGAGCGAUGAGUGACAAAUGCUGAGGACUGAGGAUUGAAUUCAGCAGAGUGAAGGUUCCCAGUGACCCUGAUGAGCAGUUUCAGUGGACCUAUAGGGUUGAAAUCCAAUUUGGAGUACAUUUAAGAGAAGUUCAAAGAAUGUUCAAAUAGCAAGUAUGGCAGCUCUUUGAAGAGUUUUUGUAUAAAGAGGAACAGAAACGUGAAUAACCAGUGGAAGGGGCUGUAUGAGGUCAAGAGAGUUGUUUACAUUUUUUUUUAAUGAGAAAAGGUACAGCAUACUUGUUGAUGAUGCAAAGGUCCCAGUUGAGAUGGAAAAAUUAAGAGGCAAAAGGAUUGUGAGCAAUCGCCUUGAAUGAAGUGAGGAGGAUUGGUUGAAAUCUGCAUAAACGGAGGGAGCAUAACAGGAGGAAAGCCAGAGGAUAUGGACACACACAGGUCAGAGGGUGGGUAUGAUGGUGAGAACUGAUGUAAGUCCCCUUUUUUUGGCUGCCCUGGGUUUUUGUUGCUGCAUGGUCUUUCUCUAGUUGUGCGCAGGCUUCUCAUCGUUGCAACUCCUGGUCCUGGGCUCAGUAGUUGUAGCAUCUGGGCUUAGUUGCCG
ensembl:lncRNA